AUUGAACGCUGGCGGCAGGCUUAACACAUGCAAGUCGAGCGGAGAUGAGGUGCUUGCACCUUAUCUUAGCGGCGGACGGGUGAGUAAUGCUUAGGAAUCUGCCAUUUAGUGGGGGACAACAUUCCGAAAGGAAUGCUAAUACCGCAUACGUCCUACGGGAGAAAGCAGGGGAUCUUCGGACCUUGCGCUAAAUGAUGAGCCUAAGUCGGAUUAGCUAGUUGGUGGGGUAAAGGCCUACCAAGGCGACGAUCUGUAGCGGGUCUGAGAGGAUGAUCCGCCACACUGGGACUGAGACACGGCCCAGACUCCUACGGGAGGCAGCAGUGGGGAAUAUUGGACAAUGAGCGGAAGCCUGAUCCAGCCAUGCCGCGUGUGUGAAGAAGGCCUUUUGGUUGUAAAGCACUUUAAGCGAGGAGGAGGCUACUAGUACUAAUACUACUGGAUAGUGGACGUUACUCGCAGAAUAAGCACCGGCUAACUCUGUGCCAGCCGCCGCGGUAAGAC
rnacentral:rRNA from 1 species